rnacentral:rRNA from 1 species
UCGAGCGAGCCAUAUGCGGAGGCCUCCGGGCCAAAGGAUGUGUGACUGAGCGGCGGACGGGUGAGUAACGCGUGGGUAACCUGCCCUAUACAGGGGGAUAACAGCUAGAAAUGGCUGCUAAUACCGCAUGAGCGCACAGCUCCGCAUGGAGCGGUGUGAAAAACUCCGGUGGUAUAGGAUGGACCCGCGUCCGAUUAGCUAGUUGGUGGGGUAAAGGCCCACCAAGGCGACGAUCGGUAGCCGACCUGAGAGGGUGACCGGCCACAUUGGGACUGAGACACGGCCCAAACUCCUACGGGAGGCAGCAGUGGGGGAUAUUGCACAAUGGGGGGAACCCUGAUGCAGCGACGCCGCGUGAGUGAAGAAGUAUCUCGGUAUGUAAAGCUCUAUCAGCAGGGAAGAAGCAAGACGGUACCUGACUAAGAAGCCCCGGCUAACUACGUGCCAGCAGCCGCGGUAAUACGUAGGGGGCGAGCGUUAUCCGGAUUUACUGGGUGUAAAGGGAGCGUAGACGGCAUGGCAAGUCUGGAGUGAAAGCCCGGGGCCCAACCCCGGGACUGCUCUGGAAACUGCCAUGCUAGAGUGCUGGAGAGGUAAGUGGAAUUCCUAGUGUAGCGGUGAAAUGCGUAGAUAUUAGGAGGAACACCAGUGGCGAAGGCGGCUUACUGGACAGUGACUGACGUUGAGGCUCGAAAGCGUGGGGAGCAAACAGGAUUAGAUACCCUGGUAGUCCACGCCGUANACGAUGGAUACUAGGUGUCGGUGGGCAANGCCCAUCGGUGCCGCCGCAAACGCAAUAAGUAUCCCACCUGGGGAGUACGUUCGCAAGAAUGAAACUCAAAGGAAUUGACGGGGGC